rnacentral:rRNA from 1 species
AUUGAACGCUGGCGGCAUGCCUUACACAUGCAAGUCGAACGGCAGCACGGGAGCAAUCCUGGUGGCGAGUGGCGAACGGGUGAGUAAUAUAUCGGAACGUGCCCAGUCGUGGGGGAUAACGCAGCGAAAGCUGUGCUAAUACCGCAUACGAUCUACGGAUGAAAGGGGGGGAUCGCAAGACCUCGCGCGAUUGGAGCGGCCGAUAUCAGAGUAGCUAGUUGGUGGGGUAAAGGCCCACCAAGGCGACGAUCUGUAGUUGGUCUGAGAGGACGACCAGCCACACUGGAACUGAGACACGGUCCAGACUCCUACGGGAGGCAGCAGUGGGGAAUUUUGGACAAUGGGCGCAAGCCUGAUCCAGCAAUGCCGCGUGCAGGAUGAAGGCCUUCGGGUUGUAAACUGCUUUUGUACGGAACGAAACGGCGAGCUCUAAUAAAGCUUGCUAAUGACGGUACCGUAAGAAUAAGCACCGGCUAACUACGUGCCAGCCGCCGCGGUAAUAC